UACGUAGGGUGCAAGCGUUGUCCGGAAUUAUUGGGCGUAAAGAGCUCGUAGGCGGUCUGUCGCGUCGAUCGUGAAAACUUGGGGCUUAACCCUGAGCUUGCGGUCGAUACGGGCAUGACUGGAGUUCGGCAGGGGAGACUGGAAUUCCUGGUGUAGCGGUGAAAUGCGCAGAUAUCAGGAGGAACACCGAUGGCGAAGGCAGGUCUCUGGGCCGAUACUGACGCUGAGGAGCGAAAGCGUGGGGAGCGAACAGG
rnacentral:rRNA from 1 species